UACGUAGGGUCCGAGCGUUGUCCGGAAUUAUUGGGCGUAAAGGCUCGUAGGCGGUCCGUCGCGUCGGGAGUGAAAACUACGGACGCUUAACUCCGAGCCUGCUUCGAUACGGGCAGACUAGAGGUAGGCAGGGGAGAGCGGAACUCCUGGUGUAGCGGUGGAAUGCGCAGAUAUCAGGAAGAACACCGGUGGCGAAGGCGGCUCACUGGACCGGUACUGACGCUGAGGCGCGAAAGCGUGGGGAGCAAACGGG
rnacentral:rRNA from 1 species